rnacentral:rRNA from 1 species
GACAGAGGUGCCGAGCGUUAGGCGGAAUCACUGGGCUUAAAGCGUGUGUAGGCGGACUUCUAAGUACCUUGUGAAGUCCCACGGCUUAACCGUGGAACUGCUUGGUAUACUGGUUGUCUUGGGCCAUCUAGGGGCUAGCGGAACAAACGGUGGAGCGGUGAAAUGCGUAGAUAUCGUUUGGAACGCCAAUGGUGAAAACAGCUAGCUGGGGAUGUGCCGACGCUGAGACACGAAAGCCAGGGGAGCGAACGGG